rnacentral:misc_RNA from 1 species
UCUCCCUCUCUCUCUCUCUCUCCUAGAAUCUCUUCUCACUGCAGCUUCGGGUCCUGAAAACCGAAGGAGGACCCAUACACACACAGACAGCCAAGCAUAAAGCCAAACUGUGCAAGCAUAGCGAGACAUACAUAUUUAUAUAUGUAGAUGUAUAUCUCUAUAGCAAGAGGGGGAAGAAAGAAAGAGAGAACAUCUUCUAAGUCAUGGAUUCGCUUGUUGUGGUAGAAUUUCAAGCAUCCUUUUUUGGGUUUGGAUUUUGAUGGUAAUGUGCUGUGCGUAAUUAUUUGAUAAUUCUAGACAUGGAUUUUUCUUUUGAGGGAAGUGCACUUGAUCCAUCAAAAUGUAGCAAGCUAAGCAUGGAUGAGAAGAGAGAACUUGUCUAUCAAUUAUCA